AAGGGUUGUAUUUAUUAGAUAUUAAGCCAAUAUUCCUUGUGUCUAUUGUGGUGAAUCAUAGUAACUGAUCGAAUCCCUUUUAGGGAUAAAUCAUUCAAGUUUCUGCCCUAUCAGCUUUCGAUGGUAGUGUAUUGGACUACCAUGGCAGUUACGGGUAACGGAGAAUUAGGGUUCGGUUCCGGAGAGGGAGCCUGAGAAACGGCUACCACAUCUAAGGAAGGCAGCAGGCGCGUAAAUUACCCAAUCCUGAUUCAGGGAGGUAGUGACAAGAAAUAACAACCUGGGGGACCUUCGGUCCUUACGGGAUUGCAAUGAGAACAAUUUAAAAGACUUAUCGAGGAACAAUUGGAGGGCAAGUCUGGUGCCAGCAGCCGCGGUAAUUCCAGCUCCAAUAGCGUAUAUUAAAGUUGUUGCAGUUAAAAAGCUCGUAGUUGAACUUCUGUGUACCUUCAGUUCUGGCUUUGGUCAAGCUGUUGCGUGCACAUCCGCUUGCAAACCUAGACCGGCCUUCACUGGUCGACUAGGGGAGUAAGCCCUUUACUUUGAAAAAAUUAGAGUGUUUCAGGCAGGCAAUGG
rnacentral:rRNA from 1 species